rnacentral:tRNA from 1 species
AGCAGGGUGGCUUAGUGGGUAGAGCAUUGGCCUGGGAGUUAGAAGAACCUGGGUUCUAAUCCCAGCUCUGCCA